AGUCAUUCUUGGACCUUCCUCCACAAUACCUCAUGAACUUGUUCCCCUACUGAGGACUCCUGUAGCUGUGAAAUGGGGAGGAGACAGCCUGUCAGAAGACUUGAACUCAUGUUGAAACCCUCCUGUUACACGUCAUGGAGUAAUGAGUUAGCCCCCCAGCUGUGAGUGCCUCUGGUUAUGCUAUGUGGGAUGCCACCUCCACGUGGCCUGAUGAGCGGUGCCAUGUCCGUGCCCAGGAUCCGAACCAGCGAAACCCUGGGCCACUGCAGAGCACGUGAACUUAACCACUUGGCCAUGGGGCUGGGCCCUCCAAUGCAAUUCUAAGAAAAAGAAUGCCUUCAAGGAAGUUAUGAUCACCAGAUAACCAGCCCCAGCUGCCUUUGCCACCUAGAAGUCUGAUUGCCCAAGGACUUAUCUGGAGUGAAAGAAACAUGGAUUUCUCCUUCGUUUCUCUGAAACUCCUUAGCUUUAUAAAGGCCCCCUGCUUUCUUCUUUCUUGAAGGUGGAUUUGACAGAACCCCUUCUUCCACCAUCUUGUUUUGGCCGAUUUAAAUAAAGCUUUCUCCAUCUCCA
rnacentral:lncRNA from 1 species